rnacentral:rRNA from 1 species
CCUACGGGCGGCUGCAGUGAGGAAUAUUGGUCAAUGGGCGCGAGCCUGAACCAGCCAAGUCGCGUGAGGGAAGACGGUCCUAUGGAUUGUAAACCUCUUUUGUCGGGGAGCAAAAGACGCCACGCGUGGCGUUCCGAGAGUACCCGAAGAAAAAGCAUCGGCUAACUCCGUGCCAGCAGCCGCGGUAAUACGGAGGAUGCGAGCGUUAUCCGGAUUUAUUGGGUUUAAAGGGUGCGCAGGCGGAAGAUCAAGUCAGCGGUAAAAUUGAGAGGCUCAACCUCUUCGAGCCGUUGAAACUGGUGUUCUUGAGUGAGUGAGAAGUAUGCGGAAGGCGUGGUGUAGCGGUGAAAUGCAUAGAUAUCACGCAGAACGCCGAUUGCGAAGGCAGCAUACCGGCGCUCAACUGACGCUCAUGCACGAAAGUGUGGGUAUCGAACAGGAUUAGAUACCCGUGUAGUC